GCUGAGCUCAGUGGUAGAGUGCUUGCCUCUCAUUUGCAGGGCCCUGGGUUCCAUCCCCAGCAGUG
rnacentral:tRNA from 1 species